rfam:Oikopleura dioica, whole genome shotgun assembly, reference scaffold set, scaffold scaffold_211
AAACCGGCCCUUUUUAGGGCCACAAAUCUCUGAAAUGCCAUAUUUU